UGUUAAUAAAUCGUGGCUGCAGCCAAUUGUAGUCGAAUGAAAUUACGAAAUAAAAGAAUGUAAAUAAAGCAGAAACUAUUUAACUUCGCCAUUUUUCAUAUCGAUGCCAGUUCUGCAUUUGACACGAAUUUUUCAGUAUGAUGAAGACACCGAUUAAUCUAUUAUUGAUUUCGAUAUAUGCAACGCUGUUUCCACUUUAUUCAAGUCAGGUGGACAAUGAUUCCUUGAACACUCAUAAAUCCAAAGAUAAGAUAUUAUUGUGUUUAAAUAUCAAUAAAACGAAAGAAUGCAUAAUUUUCAUUAAUAGUUCCAAUAUUGUUAAUCUACUGAAUGCAAACUUACAUUGUGUUAACAAUACUCCGAAUACUCACAGUUUAAGUAUUAGUAAUCUGAUCAGCAAUAUUUUACCUACAGGAGUUAAUGUUAGUAAUCCAUUGCAAGGAGUAUUCAUAUUUCCAGGAACUAAAUGGUGUGGACCGGGAAGAAGAGCAAAAAAUGACUCGGAUCUGGGUAUAUUCAAAAAAACUGACUCCUGCUGUUGACAGCACGAUAAAUGUCCGGUAGUGAUUAAACCUGGAGAAACCAAAUAUAACUUAACCAACAACGGUCUUACUAGCCGACUGUCUUGCGAAUGUGACCGGCAAUUUCGCCAAUGUCUUAAAACUGUAAACGAGGAAGAAUGUGGUAUUCCUGCUAUCGUAGAAGUGCUUUACUUCGAUGUAGGCCGACAAAAGUGCAUAAAUUGCACCCAAACAGACAACACUUCUUCCAAUAGUGAACAACCGACGGCAUCAAAUGCUACUAAAUGCCAUUAUCAAGAUCUGGAACCUUACCCGUAAAAACAAUGUUCGGAAUUUCUAUU